rnacentral:rRNA from 1 species
GUCCACGCCGUAAACGUUGGGCGCUAGGUGUGGGGGACUUUCCACGUCCUCUGUGCCGCAGCUAACGCAUUAAGCGCCCCGCCUGGGGAGUACGGCCGCAAGGCUAAAACUCAAAGGAAUUGACGGGGGCCCGCACAAGCGGCGGAGCAUGUGGCUUAAUUCGACGCAACGCGAAGAACCUUACCAAGGCUUGACAUACAGGGAAAUCCGGCAGAGAUGUCGGGUCCGCAAGGGUCCUGUACAGGUGGUGCAUGGUUGUCGU